GAAAAAUUCACAUGGUACAAAGAAAUAAGUGCCAAGAUCAUGCGGAAUGUCUGUAUUUGAACAAGCUUUUUUCAGUAUGUAGAUAGUAAGGUUUGAAGAGAAACUUUGUAUACCGUUGUAUCAAUAAUAAAUUAUAACAAGAAUAAUGUAUCUUAUAUUCAACAUUUUUAUUAGUAAUAAAUUUUAUAAGGACUGGAUUAGAUAGAUGGCUCCAAGAAAAACCAAAAAUCUACCUUUCAUUCAAUCAUUCUAUAUAAUGUAUGCUGUUCCAACUAUUCUUUCAUUUCUCCUGAAAUUUGAUCCAAUUAAACACAAUUAUUUCUCACCUUUUGACCUUUAACUAACCUAUAAAUGUUGUUGUCAUAAGUAGUGUACAAACUACAAAGAGCAGAAACAUGCCCCAUAACCAGAUACUUUCACUAAUAUAGGCAUUUAUAGUUUCUAAGUAACUUGUUAAGGGACCACAGCAAGAAACCGUCUGAACAAAACAUCUAUUUGCAGAAAGUUGCAAGUGUGUAAAACAAACUCUGAAGCUGAACAGCAUUAAUACACAUGAUUUGAUAAUUUUCUUGCAUCAGGCAUAUUAUUGCAGUGAAGGAAAGCAGAACCCUAACCACACAGUAGUUACCUCACAAAAGUUAUGAAGGAGAUA
rnacentral:misc_RNA from 1 species